rfam:Caenorhabditis remanei strain PB4641 contig8.5, whole genome shotgun sequence.
AAAGUAGAGGUAGGUGCGAGAAAUGACGGAACCUCACAAAUCAUCGUUCAUUGUCUCGCAGCUGCUUCAACUGUG